GAGCCCAAAGGCUACGCGAGGAGCCGAGGGACUAGAGAGUGAGAGAGAGCAGGAAGCCGGAAGCAGGAAGCAGGGGCUAACCUCCGAGCGGCGAGGAUGAGGGGCGGCGGCAGGAUGAUUGACGAUGAAGAGCGGGUGGGCCACGCGGAGAUCCCGACCAGCUUCGGCCCCGAGCUGCGCGCCUGCCUCCGAUGCCGCCUCGUCAAGACCUACGACUAGGAACCCUUCUCCGCUGGCGCCGCUCCCCUCCCCCCUCCUCACGCCUAGGCCUGCGGUCUAGGUUCACCAGCCUUCCGUUGAAGGGACGGUUCGAGGACUGGGGGUUUCGUUUCUCCUGGUGCGGUCCGUUCUCGGCGGCGGCUAAGUUCAGGCAGAACGGCUGAACGUCGUCAACUGCACCACCCCCAACUUCACCAGAAUUAUCUCUUUGAUGGACCCCAGUAGGAGUUGGGCAGCUCGUUGGUUGAGAAUUGGUGACCCUUGUUCUCGUGUAUCCUGCAGUUUGUUUGCCUCUUCAAUCUAGUGCGUUCAUUUUUGUCUUUUUUUUUCUUCACUCGUGCAAGGGUUUAGUAUUUUGAACUGUGAGCGAAGUCUCACAUCAGGUGCAGUUUAUAUUAAAUGUUGUUUAUGUAGUAACUCCCUUGGUUUACAUGGUUUUCCAGAUUAGAGAGCAACAUCUGUAGGAAAGGCACUUUUAUUUUCAGUUGUCGUUCAUAGCAAAACUGCACAGCUAAGGUUACCUCAUGUGGCAGUGUAAAAAGUAAAAGAGAUGAAAAAUACAUGUUUGCAUUUUACUUUUGUCAUAACUUUUAGGUGGCACCUCUGUUUCUGUGCAAUACGAAUUAAGAGAUGUUAUAGUUUCUACAUGAUCAGCAUGUCAGUUCCAAAUAAGUGCCUGAUGUUUAUGUUUGAGCUUGUAUUUAGAGCUAAAUAAAAUCAAGGCCUUGCAUCAGUUUGUUUAAAGUUCACUUCUGUUCUUGGUUCAUAGUAGAAUUUAUUUAUGGAUACGUCUAUUCGUUGCGCUGUGGCAUUAUUAACCGGGAUCAUGCAAAUCUGCAGGUAGGUUCAUUCCGGGUUGCUACACACUUGCUGUUUCGGAGGAACUUCAAGAAGAGUAUCAGGUGAAAACUACAUACCUCCAUUUUAGAAACGGCGAUGACUAAUAUACAAGCAGUUAUGUGCAAGCGUGCAAGUAGAUCUCUUUCCGUUAGAUAUAGAUCUAACCAUAUGUCAUAUUUAGCAUUUAAAUCCUCUCACUACCGCCUUAACUUUAUAAAAAAGCUCCUAAUAAACCAAAGCUCCUAAUAAACCACGAUUGCACAUACGGUUGGAUCUUAGAACGGACAAAGAGGGCUACUUGCACGGCUUGCAUAUUUGUCACUGCCUUUAGAAACACACUCUACGAUUUAAUGCACUACUCGAGACACGUCGUUGUUCAUCACUGCAGGGGAUUUGCCAAGACAACAACGUGUAGUAUGUGCCACCCAAGCGAUGUCUAGAGCUCCUGAAGCAGUAUGAAUAAUUUAGCUUAUAUAAAAUGGUGCAUGUGCUUGUUGCCAA